CAUGUAGGCGGUCUGGUCAGCGUCCUGUGAAAUCCCUCGGCCCAACCGAGGAAUUGCGGGGCGAACUGCCGGACUUGAGGCAAGUAGGGGUGUGUGGAACUCUUGGUGGAGCGGUGGAAUGCGUAGAUAUCAAGGGGAACGCCGGUGGCGAAGGCGACACACUGGGCUUGUCCUGACGCUGAGAUGCGAAAGCCAGGGUAGCGAAC
rnacentral:rRNA from 1 species